GACGAACGCUGGCGGCGUGCUUAACACAUGCAAGUCGAACGGAAAGGCCCUGCUUUUGUGGGGUGCUCGAGUGGCGAACGGGUGAGUAACACGUGAGUAACCUGCCCUUGACUUUGGGAUAACUUCAGGAAACUGGGGCUAAUACCGGAUAGGAGCUCCUGCUGCAUGGUGGGGGUUGGAAAGUUUCGGCGGUUGGGGAUGUACUCGCUGCUUAUCAGCUUGUUGGUGGGGUAGUGGCUUACCAAGGCUUUGACGGGUAGCCGGCCUGAGAGGGUGACCGGCCACAUUGGGCCUGAGGUACGGCCCAGACUCGUACGGGAGGCAACGGUGGGGAAUAUUGCAGAAUGGGCGGAAGCCAGAUGCAGAAACGCCGCGUGCGGGAUAACGGCCUUCGGGUGGAAAACCGAUUUCGAAUGUAACGAAGCGUGAGUGACGGUAAUGGGUAAAGAAGCACCGGCUAACUACGUG
rnacentral:rRNA from 1 species